rnacentral:lncRNA from 1 species
CAGACUAAACAAAAUGUACGUAAAUCUUUAUCAUGAGCAGGAGUGUAUAUUGCUACUUAUAUCAUCCUAUUUUGUAUGCAUUUCUCUGCAGAUUUGUCCAAAAUGGCGUCUGAUGUUGACUAAAUGAACAUGUAAAGAUAUCAUGUUGUAGAUAUCACAAUAGUUUAGUGGAUGGUGAAGCUAAAGCGUUUGAUAUUGACUGAAAGCACGAUAUAUAGCAGAUCCUAGGGCACAAAAGGGUUACCAUGGAAACGUACCUCUACACCUGGGCAAUGGUAUUAAUGGAUGGUCGGCGUUAGAUGUGCAACGUUAUACAGCAGAUUUUUGAUUAUAUAGGGUAUGUAUGUUUCCUAGUUCAUUCUUGUGUCAGCACUUUGGUAUAUUUGUUUCUCCUUCUACACAUGCCUUUCUAUGUCUAUACACUCCACAGGAUUACCAUGGAAACGUACCUCUACACCUAGGUAAAAGUAUAAAAAUGGAUGAUCGACGUUCAGAUGUACGAAGUUAUAGGACUUUGGAUCGUAUGGAGUGUGUAUGUUUACUUUUUCUUUCUUGUGGCAUCACUUUGAUAUAUUUGUUUCUCUUUACACACAUGCCUUUCUAUGUCUAUACACUCAACAAGGUUACCAUGGAGACGUACAUCUACACCUGGCCAAUUGUAUAAAUGGAUGACAGUCGUUCAGAUGUACAAAGUUAUACAGCAGAUUUUGGAUCAUACAAGAUAUUUCAGAAAUGGUGGCUGAUGUUGAACGUGUGAAGAUAUCACAAUGGUUCAGAAGAUGGUGUAGCUACGGUGCUUUAUGUUGACUACAAGCACGUGCACGGUUGUCAUGUUGUUGAUUUCACAAUGGUUUAGUGAACGGUGUAGCUAUGGCGGCUGAUGUUGACUAUACAAGCACGUGCCAGGAUGUCGUGUUGUAGAUUUUCGCAAUAGUUUAGCAAACGAUGCAGCUUGGUACAUUUUCUCUGGCUAGAAAGCAAAGGUCGAUUUUUCCCCGGAGUCACUCAAGAGCUUAGAAAUGCACAUACACUUUCUGGUCAUGGUGAAAGUAAAACAAAAAAAGUAAUGGACGAGAAACUCAAGACUAUCCGAUGAGAAAUUGAAACUAUCUGACGAGGUCCCCCACUAUCCGACGAGAAGGA